rnacentral:lncRNA from 7 species
UGCAACAGCGGAGGGUAAAUUUUGAAGAAUUCACUGUGUCAAGUGUUAUGCAUUUCUGCAGAGCGCAGCUUAAAAGAGACAACUCCAUACUGUUUCCCUCAGGAAAUCAGCUUCCGACUUUCUCAGAAGGUCAUCUCUUUUGCGUAUUGCCUGUGAAGACAAAAAGCAUUCCAAUAGUGCUUUUUAUGAUGUACUUUUUAUACUGCAUCCUGCUAUUUUGAGCUAUGGGGUACAUGAGAUUAUACAGCACCUCAUUAGUAACUAGGUCAAGUAUCCACAAUCUCCUCCAGGAUCAAAAAGUUACAAGGACUUUAAUUUAGAAUAGCCUGUUGAAAAAAAAGAUUCAGUAUUACAAUAAAUGCAUCAUUAAUCAAUACUUACAAGUUCAAAGGCAAAAAUAUAUAUACAUAUUCCAUGUAAUUGUGAGAGAAAUGCAGUUUGAUCUAAAUGAAUGAUUUAAAAAAAAAAAAAGGAAGAAUGUCUGAUGAAUUAAAAAAUAAAGUAAAAUCAAAUAAGAAAGGGGGAUUGUUAACCUCUUGGUGACAACUGCCACAGAGCUCUUUCAUUGGGUACUCAGGCAAAUGCCAUAGGUUAAUAUGGCCAUAGGGGUAUCCCAAAGCAAUCAGAAAAAAAAGAUAUCAUGCUACUUUCUCUCUUCUUUUCUUUUUUUUCUCUCACAGUUUAAAGUUCUUAUCUGUGUAAAACAACGACUCAACUGUAUUUUAUUGUUGCUUGAAUUGUCAAGUAAAACUUGGAGUCUGGAUUUAGAAGAGCCCAUUCUGUUGAGACAUGGAGCAAUAGUUUUAAUUUCUACACGCACAUAUUUUAAGCAUGUGUUGCAAGUUUAUAGACAUAAGUUUAGAGAUAAAAGUAUCAAUCACUAUUGAGUAUUCAUGACUGACUGUGUGUUAUUGGCUUGAUGCCACACCUUGAUUUUCUAUCAUGCUCCAUCAUGCUUCUUUUAAUCUGAAUAUUUAGUACUCUUUCAUGUCUUAAUUACAGCAAAUUGCACACAGUUGGCACCAUUUCUUGAAAUUAAUCCCAGAGUACUUUGUUUCUGUCAAGCACAGUCAAAGCCUUAGAGAAUAAUAGUAAAUGUUAUUGCAGAUCUAAAUUUAAAUGACUGUCUAUGUAUUUAACUUAAGCCUUUAAUUAUUCGUGCAGCACUGUUUUUGGUUCAAAUGUUAAACAUUCAUUUUUGAGAAUUUAAAAUUGUUUCAGACAGCUUGAAACCUGUGAUGUUAACAUGACAACAAUUAUUUGUAUUAACACGUCUUUUCAGGUGUGUAAAACUUAAUAGACAUCAUAUAAUACCCUGCCACAGUAAUAUGUCUCCAUUUCUUUCUGUUUAUUCAGUAAAUAAUAAAAAGGUUCUAAUUACAAGAAAGAGUUUUGCUGGGGGUUAAUUCCUUCUGUUGUCCUUUUUUGGCUAUGCAAAAAAAAAAAAAAAAUCUAGAAUAUAAACAAUUUUUUUUCCUCAUUAGCUGAUUCUUAAAAUGUUUGUAAUUGUAUGUAUCUUGUAUGUCUCUUUCUAAAACUCAUUGAAAAUGAGGAGGGGUUGUAUUUUUCUACUUUCAGUAUAUCAUU